AUUGCCCAAGCGUUUACAAUUACUCGCGAUUUUUUGGGUAUGUGGAAUCCGUUAACUGUGCAAUCUUCCAUAGAUUCGUGUGGAGCCAUCAAUGGCGCUACAGGAUGAAGUCGCAGGGUUUCCUUGACAACCAUGUCUAGGUAUUCUAGGAUUUCCAAAUCUGAUUCUUCAACCAUUCUUUUUAAGCCCACAAUAUUUUCUAGCUCUCUUUGUAGUUUCUUCAUCACAGCAGGAUGCUUGAUGAGUUCUGAAAGUGCCCACUCGACUACCGUUGGUGAAGUGUCCAUCGCUCCCGCAAGCAUGUCCUGAAAUUGAGGAAACCAUAAAUAAAUGAAGCAGAUGUUUAGGGUUAAAAAUGACUCAUGCAGAUGAUCUUCUAUGGCAUGUAUAUUGCUAUUUAUGUUUACUGGCCAAGAUCAAUUCUGAUAUUAUGUAUCAAUCACAUGUCUAUAUUUACUCAUGUGAAAGCCAACACGAACACUACAACAAACAGUUAUAUCACCGAUGAAAUAUAUCCGAGGGCGUAAAAUACCUUUGAUAAUAAAUACUUUUUCCUAAGGUGUAAGAUGGCCGUCGGAUAAGGAUGAAAAUAUAAUCAAUAUUCCCGAGGGCAAUUUGCCCUUGAUGAUAAUGAAUGCUUUGUCGAAAAUGCUUGCUAGACUUAACUAGAAGCACCCCAAAAUUUACACACUUCGGUCUUUGAAGUAGAGUACUAAAACCACAAGCCCACAGCCAUAACUUCCAAUAAUUUUUUUCUUUGGAGUAGCGUACUUGGCAAAUUUUUUUCUUGUAAAUUUAAUUACUCUUGGUAAAAUUAAAAACCUAAAAGAAUGAAAUACAAAUAAAAAGAGGAAAUAUCGGUUUGCUAAUAAAGUACGUAGAACAUCCAGAGUUUGUUUUAUUUUAAUUUUAUUUAUUAACAACUGCGUUAGGCUAAUCCAGAGAUGGAACAAACAACAUUAUCAUUAAGUGCUAAGGCGAUAGCUUGGAACGGCCAAAAGAUGUUUGGCCCGAUAAGUCACAAGACCAAACUCUUCUGUCAUGUCCAAUUCAGUUGGCAACAUUCCCUCGGGAAGCUCCCAAUCAAAGCAAUGCACCAGCUGUGCGGUCACUUGCUUAACGACGGUGAGUGCCAAUUGCAUUCCAGGGCAAGCCCUGCGGCCAGAACCAAAUGGCAAAAGCUGGAAGUCACGUCCGCGAACAUCAACACUACUCCCAAUAAAUCUUUCCGGAAAAAACUUCUCAGGAUCAUUCCAGGCUUUAGGAUCCCUUCCAAUUGCCCAAGCGUUUACAAUUACUCGCGAUUUUUUGGGUAUGUGGAAUCCAUUAACCGUGCAGUCUUCCAUAGAUUCGUGUGGAGCCAUCAAUGGCGCUACAGGAUGAAGUCGCAGGGUUUCCUUGACAACCAUGUCUAGGUAUUCUAGGAUUUCCAAAUCUGAUUCUUCAACCAUUCUUUUUAAGCCCACAAUAUUUUCUAGCUCUCUUUGUAGUUUCUUCAUCACAGCAGGAUGCUUGAUGAGUUCUGAAAGUGCCCACUCGACUACCGUUGGUGAAGUGUCCAUC
rnacentral:lncRNA from 1 species